rnacentral:rRNA from 1 species
AGUGAACGCUGGCGGUAGGCCUAGCACAUGCAAGUCGAACGGCAGCACAGUAAGAGCUUGCUCUUACGGGUGGCGAGUGGCGGACGGGUGAGGAAUACAUCGGAAUCUACUUUUUCGUGAGGGAUAACGUAGGGAAACUUACGCUAAUACCGCAUACGACCUACGGGUGAAAGCAGGGGAUCUUCGGACCUUGCGCGAUUGAAUGAGCCGAUGUCGGAUUAGCUAGUUGGCGGGGUAAAGGCCCACCAAGGCGACGAUCCGUAGCUGGUCUGAGAGGAUGAUCAGCCACACUGGAACUGAGACACGGUCCAGACUCCUACGGGAGGCAGCAGUGGGGAAUAUUGGACAAUGGGCGCAAGCCUGAUCCAGCAAUACCGCGUGGGUGAAGAAGGCCUUCGGGUUGUAAAGCCCUUUUGUUGGGAAAGAAAAGCAGCAGGUUAAUACCCCGCUGUUCUGACGGUACCAAAAGAAUAAGCACCGGCUAACUUCGU